UGCGGUGUGUUUUUCAAACUCAGUUCCCCAAUCGCCUUUGCACUGCGAGGUCUUCCUGCCACAUGCCGUUUGCUUCCAUCAGGGGUGUGUGUGUGAGAUGAGUAACGCCAAUGCUUUACAGGACUAACCCCUGAGCCACACAACAGCAGCUUCACCUUAGAGAAGCAGAAUAAAAAGGAAAAUGAGUCCAGCACAGCCUGUUUUUACGCACUGAUAAGAUCUGCGGGUCUUCCAGUGUGCAGGCUUGCGCACCACUGCGGCUCUGCCUGCCGUAGUGGGAGGGAUCCAUCCAGGCCAGGUCAGCCAGAGUAAUUUUGGAGCGAAAACGCACUUUACAAGUAAAUAGAGUGAGUCAUGUUUCUUGUUGGCAUAAAUGCAAAGCACGUAGGAGCAGGAAGUGUCUUUGUUUUUGUGCACGGGAGGGUGCUUUCAGGGCAGGUUAUCGCUGAGGUGCAUUUCUGGCCAAGUGAUAUAACAUCUUGUUCCGGCAGCGAGACCGUCUGACCUGGCAGAGGGGAAGCAAUUUCAUGCAGUUCAAUAUCAGAAUAAGGAGAUGAGAGGUGUGAGGAUGGCAGCAGCAACAAAUACAAGAGUCUGAAUAUGAGCGCCAUGUUAAAUAAAAUAAUUUCUUUGGUGCCUGUACUCUGGGCAGGCUGUCACACCGGAACCAGGAGAAGGUAUGUUCUGUCCCUCCCAUCCUGCGGAGAUCCCAGAUGGCUGCAGUGUCAGCUGAAGUCACUCUCUGCUCUGUAAUCUCUUUCUGAAGACUAGAGGAUAUUGGUUCAAAAGCCAGAAGCCUUCAGUGAAACUACUUAAGCGAAGGGCUAAUCAGGAGAGGAAAUAGAAGCUGAUUACCCCACCCACCUCUGAAGCCUCUGCUAGAGCCAUUUAUCAUAAUGUUUCUCAACAUUCUUGGGUUGGCAACUUUAUAGGAGGACUCAUUUUUGCA